UAAAUACACAUCUAUGUUGUUAUAUAACCAUUACCAUUAUCCACUGUCAAAACUUUAUCGUACUAAGCAGAAGUUAAGUCCCAGACCAUAUGACCUUCCCACCUCUGCCUCCCAAGUGCUGGGAUUAAAGACAUGCAAUAGCUGUGCUUGGAAAAUUUGAACAUUUUUUUUCUUAUUAGCAUGUAUGAAUUGUGCAUAAUAAUGGUCCCAUUGUGACAUUGGCUGAACCAUUUCCAGUAACUAUGCGUAUCUGUUCUAGAUGCCUUGGGCAAGUGGCUGUGUGGAGGUCUUGCUUACUCUGCCUAACAUAAUGUCGUUGUCCUAGUUUGCUCUCUGUUGCUGUGAUCAAACACUCGCAAAAGCUACCUGGGGGAAGAGAAAAGGGUUUGUCAUAGACCGCAGUCCACCGUUGAGAGGAUUCAAGGGAAGAACCUAGAACUGAAGCAGAGCAGUACUGCUUCCUGGCAGGCUCCCCCGGCUUUCUCAGCUACCCUUCUUACACGGCCCGGGCCCAUCUUCCUAGGGAUGGCUGUCUUCUUCCCAUUGGAAAGAGGGUGAUGGUUCUCAGCACAGGAACAAANGGGCUGCAUGGCCCAGCGAUCUGGACAAAGGCCAAAAAGCCAAAGACUGUUGAAGCCGCAGUCUCCACUCUUCUACUGACGCCAGCGACCACCCAGCCCAGCCAGGCCAUAUGGCCUCCUGCUUGCCUGAUGUAUGAGAGCUUCCAUUCGGCGAAUGAGGCAAAGCCAGAAGACUUCUGUGUCCUUGCUGUGUCUCCGUGGUCUACCUGAGAGCAUCGAGGUGGAUGAGACUGGAGCUGUUUUGUAUGUGAGUGGAGUGGCUGCAGCCGGCAGGCAUUUAUCUCCAAAGCUGGGCCCUGCCUGUCAGGCUUCCUGCAGGCACCUAAGGACCAGAUCCAUCCCUGGGGACCUGGGCACUGCUCAGCGCG
ensembl:lncRNA